AUUGAACGCUGGCGGCAGGCCUAACACAUGCAAGUCGAACGAGUGGCGGACGGGUGAGUAAUGUCUGGGAAACUGCCUGAUGGAGGGGGAUAACUACUGGAAACGGUAGCUAAUACCGCAUACCAUCAGAUGUGCCCAGGUGGGAUUAGCUAGUUGGUGGGGUAACGGCUCACCAAGGCGACGAUCCCUAGCCGGCCUGAGAGGAUGACCAGCCACACUGGGACUGAGACACGGUCCAGACUCCUACGGGAGGCAGCAGUGGGGAAUAUUGCGCAAUGGACGAAAGCCUGAUGCAGCAAUGCCGCGUGUAUGAAGAAGGCCUUCGGGUUGUAAAGUACUUUCGGCAGGGAGGCGUUACCCGCAGAGAAAGCACCGGCUAACUCCGUGCCAGCAGCCGCGGUAAUUC
rnacentral:rRNA from 1 species